AUUGAACGCUGGCGGCAGGCCUAACACAUGCAAGUCGAACGGAGUGGCGGACGGGUGAGUAAUGUCUGGGAAACUGCCCGAUGGAGGGGGAUAACUACUGGAAACGGUAGCUAAUACCGCAUACUAUCAGAUGAGCCUAGGUCGGAUUAGCUAGUUGGUGGGGUAAUGGCCUACCUAGGCGACGAUCCCUAACUGGUCUGAGAGGAUGACCAGUCACACUGGAACUGAGACACGGUCCAGACUCCUACGGGAGGCAGCAGUGGGGAAUAUUGGACAAUGGGCGAAAGCCUGAUGCAGCCAUGCCGCGUGUAUGAAGAAGGUCUUCGGAUUGUAAAGCACUUUAAGUUGGGAGGCGUUACCCACAGAAGAAGCACCGGCUAACUUCGUGCCAGCAGCCGCGGUAAUAC
rnacentral:rRNA from 1 species